UACAGAGGUCUCAAGCGUUGUUCGGAUUCAUUGGGCGUAAAGGGUGCGUAGGUGGCGCGGUAAGUCGGGUGUGAAAUUUCGGAGCUUAACUCCGAAACUGCAUUUGAUACUGGCGUGCUUGAGGACUGGAGAGGAGACUGGAAUUCAUGGUGUAGCAGUGAAAUGCGUAGAGAUCAUGAGGAAGACCAGUGGCGAAGGCGGGUCUCUGGACAGUUCCUGACACUGAGGCACGAAGGCCAGGGGAGCAAACGGG
rnacentral:rRNA from 1 species